UGUCAAGGCUAGAGUAGGUGUUGUCAAGGUUAUAGGAGGUGUUGUCAAGGCUAGAGUAGGUGUUGUCAAGGUUAGAGGAGGUGUUGUCAAGGUUAGAUGAGGUGUUGUCAAGGUUAUAGGAGGUGUUGUCAAGGCUAGAGUAGGUGUUGUCAAGGUUAUAGGAGGUGUUGUCAAGGUUAUAGGAGGUGUUGUCAAGGUUAGAUGAGGUGUUGUCAAGGUUAGAUGAGGUGUUGUCAAGGUUAUAGGAGGUGUUUUCAAGGCUAGAGUAGGUGUUGUCAAGGCAAGAGUAGGUGAUUUCGAAGUUAGAGGAGGUGUGGUCAAAAUUAGAGGAGGUGUGGUCAAGGUUAGAGGAGGUGUGGUCAAGGUUAGAGUAGGUGUGGUCAAGGUUAGAGUAGGUGUGGUCAAAAUUAGAGGAGGUGUGGUAAAGGAUAGAGGAGGUGUUGUCAAGGUUAUAGGAGGUGUUUUCAAGGUUAGAGGAGGUGUUGUCAAGGUUAGAGGAGGUGUUGUCAAGGUUAGAGGAGGUGUUGUCAAGGUUAGAGGAGGUGGUGUCAAGGUUAGAGGAGGUGGUGUCAAGGUUACAGGAGGUGUUUUCAAGGCUAGAGGAGGUGUUGUCAAGGUUAGAGGAGGUGUUGUCAAGGCUAGUUGAGGUGUUGUCAAGGUUAGAGGAGGUGUUGUCAAGGCUAGAGGAGGUGUUGUCAAGGUUAGAGGAGGUGUUGUCAAUGUUAGUGGAGGUGUUGUUGAGGUUAGAGAAGGUGUUGUCAAGGUUAGAGUAGCUGUUGUCAAGGCUUGAGGAGGUGUUGUCAAGGUUAGAUGAGGUGUUGUCAAGGUUAGAGGAGCUGUUGUCAUGUUAGAUGAGGUGUUGUCAAGGUUAGAGGAGCUGUUGUCAAGGUUAGUGGCGGUGUUGUCAAUGUUAGAUCAGGUGUUGUCAAG
rnacentral:lncRNA from 1 species